CCCUANCCAUAAGCCCCCNCCUGGGAGUACGCCNCAGGUUNAACUCAAAGAAAUNACGGGGGCCCCACNAGCGGUGGAGCNUUGUUUNAUUCGAAGCAACGCGAAGAACCCUACCAGGUCUUGACAUCCCUCUGACCUCUCUAGAGAUAGAGNUUNCUUCGGGACAGAGGUGACAGGUGGUGCAUGGUUGUCGUCAGCUCGUGUCGUGAGAUGUUGGGUUAAGUCCCGCAACGAGCGCAACCCCUAUUGUUAGUNGCCAUCAUUCAGUUGGGCACUCUAGCGAGACUGCCGGUAAUAAACCGGAGGAAGGUGGGGAUGACGUCAAAUCAUCAUGCCCCUUAUGACCUGGGCUACACACGUGCUACAAUGGCUGGUACAACGAGUCGCAAGUCGGUGACGACAAGCUAAUCUCUUAAAGCCAGUCUCAGUUCGGAUUGUAGGCUGCAACUCGCCUACAUGAAGUCGGAAUCGCUAGUAAUCGCGGAUCAGCACGCCGCGGUGAAUACGUUCCCGGGCCUUGUACACACCGCCCGUCACACCACGAGAGUUUGUAACACCCGAAGUCGGUGAGGUAACCUUUUAGGAGCCAGCCGCCUAAGGUGGGAUAGAUGAUUGGGGUGAANUCGUANCAANNUANCCA
rnacentral:rRNA from 1 species